rnacentral:rRNA from 1 species
GAUGAACGCUGGCGGCGUGCCUAAUACAUGCAAGUCGAGCGAACGGACGAGAAGCUUGCUUCUCUGAUGUUAGCGGCGGACGGGUGAGUAACACGUGGAUAACCUACCUAUAAGACUGGGAUAACUUCGGGAAACCGGAGCUAAUACCGGAUGAUAUUUUGAACCGCAUGGUUCAAAAGUGAAAGACGGUCUUGCUGUCACUUAUAGAUGGAUCCGCGCUGCAUUAGCUAGUUGGUAAGGUAACGGCUUACCAAGGCAACGAUGCAUAGCCGACCUGAGAGGGUGAUCGGCCACACUGGAACUGAGACACGGUCCAGACUCCUACGGGAGGCAGCAGUAGGGAAUCUUCCGCAAUGGGCGAAAGCCUGACGGAGCAACGCCGCGUGAGUGAUGAAGGUCUUCGGAUCGUAAAACUCUGUUAGUAGGGAAGAACAUAUGUGUAAGUAACUGUGCACAUCUUGACGGUACCUAAUCAGAAAGCCACGGCUAACUACGUG